rnacentral:rRNA from 1 species
AUUGAACGCUGGCGGCAGGCCUAACACAUGCAAGUCGAGCGGAUGAAGGGAGCUUGCUCCUGGAUUCAGCGGCGGACGGGUGAGUAAUGCCUAGGAAUCUGCCUGGUAGUGGGGGAUAACGUCCGGAAACGGGCGCUAAUACCGCAUACGUCCUGAGGGAGAAAGUGGGGGAUCUUCGGACCUCACGCUAUCAGAUGAGCCUAGGUCGGAUUAGCUAGUUGGUGGGGUAAAGGCUUACCAAGGCGACGAUCCGUAACUGGUCUGAGAGGAUGAUCAGUCACACUGGAACUGAGACACGGUCCAGACUCCUACGGGAGGCAGCAGUGGGGAAUAUUGGACAAUGGGCGAAAGCCUGAUCCAGCCAUGCCGCGUGUGUGAAGAAGGUCUUCGGAUUGUAAAGCACUUUAAGUUGGGAAGAAGGGCAGUAAGUUAAUACCUUGCUGUUUUGACGUUACCAACAGAAUAAGCACCGGCUAACUUCGUG